rnacentral:rRNA from 1 species
AGCUCCAAUAGCGUAUAUUAAAGUUGUUGCAGUUAAAAAGCUCGUAGUUAGAUUUCUGGCUGGGCAUGUGGGUCCACUCUUACAAGUGUGCACCAUACAUGUCUGGCCAUCCUUUGGAAGAGCCACAGUGGCAUUAAGUUGUUGGUGUGAGGACCCCAAUUCUUUUAUUGUGAAGAAAUUAUAGUGUCCAAAGCAGGCUUAUGCUGUUGAAUAUAUAAGCAUGGAAAAAUAAUAUAGGACUAUUGUACUAUUUUGUUGGGUUGCGCAUAAUAGUAAUGAUUAACAGGGACAGUUUGGGGUAUUUGUAUUCCAUUGUCAGAGGUGAAAUUCUUGUACUUUUUGAAGACAAACUACUGUAAAAGCAUUUACCAAAGAUGUUUUUA